rnacentral:lncRNA from 1 species
CUUUCUAUUAAGAUUUAUGGGAAACUUAAGCAUGCUAUGAAUACGAGUAUAGACUAAAGUAAUUGAAAGAAAAAUGUACAUAAGAGAUUAAAGGAAAGUGACUCAUUAUUGUCUUUAAGAAGAAUUCAGGAAUCAGAUAAUUAAUAUUUUAUAUUAAACAAUCGAAGACUAUCGUUUUCUUCCCUCAGAGACAAACAGCAGUUACUAGCAGUUUUUAUUUGCCAAAAGUCAGACGAUGAAAACCUCGUAGCAGAGAGCUGAUUUUUCUCUUUUCAUGCAGUUGUCCCCUGUGGUGUAGGUGACCUUAUCAUAAAGUCUUCUGCUUUUUCAGCCACUAGUGUUGUGGUCUAUGUAAGUGGAAAAUUAGUCUGGGUACCUCGAGGAAAUAAAAAGCAGACUUCCAACCUGUACUGCUCUGAUUACACUGUCUUGCAUGGCCUACUUUGUCAACUAUGUCGCUUCUCAAGGUUAAUACCUGCUUCUUCAGGAAUAAUACCAUAUGCCUGAUGGAAAUUCAUCUGUUUCAAUCCAGUUUACAGACCUAAACAUUCAUCAGUAAGGUAAGGAUGAGUCAUCGCCAACCACCAUGAAUGAUGCCAGACAAGGUGGGGAAAUCUCUCCUGGAACUGUGGCUAACACAAGAAAAACAUAUUAUUCAAGUCGACUUAUCAAUGAUUUAAGGUGCCUUUCAAUACACCUAUGAAUACCCUACCCCUUGAGCCUUCUACUUGGGGAUCUCUGACCAUGGUGAUGAGGUAAGUCUUCCAUUGGAUUUGAGCUUAUACUUUUUUUGUCAAAUUUCCCAAUGCUUCUAGGAAAGAAGAUAAGUUUUUAAGGAAUACUUGGAUUAGCUUGUACUAAUCCAAGCUAAGGAUUAAGGAACGCUUUGGAAAAGUUUUAAGGAACACUUUGGAAAGCCUUCAUCUUUGUGGAAUACUGCUUUAUUGCCAACAAUAGUACUAUUUAACUCUGCCUAUGUUCUUCGUUUCCUACAAGUGUAAGUCCAUAUAGAGAAGAGGGCAGACAUAGGUUCCUAUAAGUUUGUUUUUGAGUCAGCUUCGAAUGGCCAAUGAGUUCAAAGUAAGGCCCGCUGAAUCAGCCUCUUCAUAAGACAAAUGUUGUGUUACAUCUCAUAUCAAAAACCUUGAGAGCUUUUUUUUUCUCUCUGUGAAAGUCUGGUUUGAGAGAAAUCUUCUCUUCAAACAGCCACCCAGCCCUUCAGGAAACACCAGAUUACCAGGUUUGUCAUGAACAGCCAGCCAUUAGGUUGAGGGCUAAAGACAAGUUGCACAAGCAAUAAGUUGUGAUUCCAGACUCUCAAGGGUUUGUCCCAGUCCUAGUUCUUGCAUCCUGAAGACUAAACUCCUGCAUCUUACAUGUAUUUAUAUUAAUAUCCAAAUAUUUGUAUUUAUUUAUUUUCUAAAUGGCAUGCUUUCCAAGGAUAACAGAAUUACAGCGGCCACUUGAGGAACUUCAGAUACAGCAAAAUUAUUCAUCUAAAAAGUACAUUAGAAUAAGAUGGAACAAACAUCCAAUAUCUGCUUAUUUGAUUGAUAUAUUAUUUUGGAGGGAAUGAGGAAGUUUCCAACAGAAAUAUAGGAUCCAAAAUUACUUUCUUAAAAUAUUCCUUGGAUAAGGCAAAUAAAAAAAUUUCAAAACUUAAAACUCUCACUUAGGUGCUCCCAAAUCACAACUUAAGCCUAAUGGUUUUAUCUUGUUAGGCUUCUGCCCUCAUUAUAUCAUCCUCUAUUACCUGCUGCCCUUGCUCCUCUUUCUGACCUGUUUUACUUCUAUUGUGACCAUUCAGAAACUCCCAAAGUUCAAUUACAUCUUAAACACCCUUCAGAAAAGGGAAAUAUCCUUGUGGCAAAAACUUUACAAAAUCAAAGACAACAAAGAGAAGUAGAGAAAACAAUUUGGAAUAAUUCAAAGAAUCUAUAGACCAGGGAUCCCACAGCUGUAUCAAUCAGCUCAUAUGUUCCAAGAAACCUCAGAUGUGAAUGCAAAAAAAGAAAAAAACAUAUAUAUUGAAAAGACAGAAUAAGAAGAUCCAGAAGAUGACUUAAAAGACCCAAAGUUGCAUAAGACCCCAGAAGAAUUUAGAAAAAGAAUGUACAUUUGGCAUGACUGUUUAGUUGUUAUUUUUUUCUUUCCUAUGAAAGUCGAUUGAACUUGAUUUCAGGCUAUCAGCAAAAAAUUAGUUCACUGGAGAAUUUAGGAGUAGGCUCUUCAAAAACUUUUGACAUAUAGGAGUAGAUUCUAAACAGAAAUAAUCUCAGCUCUGUCAUUACUUUUUUAGAAUGACCAUAUGCCACAAAUAGAGGCUUCAAAGCAUAGCAAAUUGGUCCUAAACUUUUUGUCACACAAAUAGAAAGAUUAUUGUACAUUGACUAAAUGUAUUGGCACAUAAGAGGGAGUAGAGGUGGGGUCAUAGAGGAAUAUUAGUCUAAAAGUAGGAUGACGGGCCCUGUAUGUCAAGCUCUGGAGCUGAGAUUUCACUGUGUACUAGAGUCAAAUUUUAAUAAAGUUUAAUUUGUAGUUGCUGCAAUUGUGGUAUGUAAGAUAUCAUUAGAUAUAAGAAUUAGAAAAGUUUCUUUUAUUAUAGCAUUACAGACAGAUUGAAAAAGUCUGAGACUAGGCUCACAGAACACAUAGAAUCAACAUGACUCAGGAACAUUCCCCCUAAAUUAUCAUCAUGUCUAUUACAUGUAUCAAUACUUUCCACUCUUCAUCCAAGUCAACCCAUCCAACAUGUAACCACUAGAUGUCUUUCAGAGGUGAGAGUUUGGCCACAUUAACUACUCUUUCAAAAAUGUUCCCAAUUUAUUAGCACUUUAAUGAAAUUAAAACUCCUAAAAAUACAGUCAUGUUUCACGAAAUGAUAGGGAUAUGUUCUUAGAAAUGCAUUAAGCAAUUUCAGUGUUGUAUGCACAAACCUAAAUCUUAUACACUAUUAUGUACCUGCGCUAUAUAGCCUAUUGCUCCUGGGCCACAAAACUGAACAGCAUGUUACUGUACCGAAUACUGUAGACAGUUAUAACACAUUAAGUAUUUGUAUUAUAAUAAAAUAUACCUAGACAUAGAAAAAGCACAAUAAAAAUAGCACGUUAUAAUCUUAUGGGAUGACCAUAUAUAUGUGGUCUGUCAUUGGCUGAAAUGUUACAUGGAGCAUAGCUGUACUUUUCAAGAUUUUUUACCAUUUUGCUCAGCAAAGUUCAUGCAUUUAUACCAUGUAUGUUAUCUCUCUGUGUGUAUAUAUAUGUAAACAUAUGUUACAUAUACACACACAUUUAUACCAUUAAUAUGUAACAUGCAUACAAUAUCCUUACAUAUAACCAUACAUCUCCCAGUCAAUAUCAUACACUUUGUUCUGCCAUGCUAAACCACUAUUUACAACUUCACAACUGCCUUAGCAUAACUACUCUUGCCAAAUUCUGUGCCUUUGUUUAUUGUAUUUUCUCUACUGAACUACACUUUCUUUAAUCUUCAACAUUAAAAUGUAAUUCAUCCUUUAAGAAUAGUCAGAGCUAACUAUUCCCAUUAUGCUUCUCUAACACUCCUAGUGAUAAUAUAUUGUUUCCCUAUUAUUGUGGGACUACUUCUAUCAUGGCUUGCCUGUCCACUACGAGUUCUGAAAGAAUAAACACUUCCUUAUGUCUUUAUAUAAACUACAAUCCCUGAAAAAAGAGACUACUUCUUAGUACACUUCGAUGAAUUAAUGAAUCAAGAGCAAACGGAUGGAUUGACUGAUACCUAAUCAUUUGUGUAAAGUUUUCCUUCUCUCCUUCAUUAGAUGAUAAGUCAGUGAUUCUCUCAGCAAAUAUUUUACUUCUUAUGUAAUGGUUUCCUUACAAUACACAGUACAAUGCUCUCAACGCAGUGGGUAAUCAAUACCUGCUGUUGACUGUUGAAGUAAAAUAAAUUUACAAAAAUAAACCAAGCUUGUUUCUAGUAAUGGAAGUCCCCUUGGUGAUUUUUGUCAUGUAAAAUGAAAUCACCGCAGAAAAAUUUAUGAAUGAUAUGCUGAGUAUCCCAAAUAAAUGCUGUACUUUCAGACAUAAGCACCAUUGGCUGCAGUCGUUAUAGAUAAUGAAAAUUAAGCAGGUCUCAAAGGGGAGAAAAUUUUGGAUGGCAUUAACGAUUCAGUUAUUUGCUUCUUUUCCUUUGGGACCAACUAAACUGAUGCCAUUACAUUGAAUUAAACUAAGUUGUAAAAUUAGAAAUGCCUUUCUUGAAAUACAUUAUAAAAAGAAGAUCCACCUUAUAAUUAGAAAGGAUAAUAUGAUGAGGGAGAAAAGUACACAUCUCCUGAAACAGCUUCUAGUAAUGUGGUUGAAGUCAGCAAAUUAUUAAUUUGCUAAAUUAUAGGGAUUCUUUUACUUCCUCUUCCUAUAAGUAAUUUGGCCAUGUUAAUUGAUGCUAUUCUGAACUUGAGGCUGAUACAACUCAAAUAAUGCAAGUAUUAUGUAAUAUACAUGUAUGCUUAUGAUGAUAUUAAUAUACACAUUAAUACGCAAAUACAUAUGUAGGACAUUAAUGUAUACAUAUGCAUACAUAAUAGUAACAUACAUAAUAAUUGUUAUAGACUGAGCUGAAUUUAAAA